rnacentral:tRNA from 1 species
GCGAACUUGGUGUUUAACGGUAGCAUCUCUGCCUUCCAAGCAGAAGGAGCGGGUUCGAUUCCCGUAGUUCGCUCCA